UCCCUAUCAGGGUCAUAUCUGGAGAGUUUCCAGUACUCUACCAGACUUGACUAUGGGAGGAAGAGUCAAGCAGAAGCAUAUCCAUUCCAUUCCUAGCUUGGCCAGUGGCUAGCAAGUAGAAGGCAAUCUGCUAUAAGU